GCCGAAGUAGCUCAGUUGGUAGAGCACCUCGCUGUUACGGUGACACAGCACUUCGCUGGUCGCCGCAGAUACGAGGUUGUCCCAGGUUCGAGUCCUGGCUUUGGCG
rnacentral:tRNA from 1 species